GCCCCCUCCUCAAAUUUGGGCACCCCAAAAAUUCAACAUUGGACCCCAAAAAUCCAACCCUGGGGGGGUCAGGUGUGCCCUGAGACCCCUCCCCAAAUUCGGGCACCCCAAAAAUCCAACCCUGGGGGGGUCAGGGGUGCCCUGAGCCCCCUCCCCAAUUCCCUGCCCCCCCCAGGUUUGUGGGGCGCCCCCCGCGCCCCCCCCGGGCCCCAUCGGCACCGAGCGCUCCCAGCGGGGCCGGAACCCCCCCGAGGCCUGGGGGGGGCCCCCCCAAACCUGAGGGGACCCCCCGAGAGGAGGAGGAGGAGGAGGAGGAGCAGCGGCACCCCCAGAGCGGGGAGGGGCUCGGAGCCCCCCGGCCCUGGGAGCUGCUGCCGGGGGGGGGGUCCCGAGCCCCCCCCCCAAAAUCGACCCCCGGAGCCCAAAGGGCCCCCCCGGGACCCCCCCGAGAGCGGCCGGGGGGGGGGGCGGAGCCGCCGGGCAGGUGCCCCCCCCCGCCAUGGAGCCCCCCCAGGGCAGCGGCGGCUUCCGGCCCGAGACCCCCACGGUGCCGCCCUACAGGCCGGUGCUGGUGGCGGGGGCGGGGCUGCCCCUCCCCCCCCUGAAGAGCCCCUUCCUGGAGCUGCCGGGCCUGGGGGGAGGGGCCGAGCUGGCCAAGCUGGGGGGGCGGGGGGGGGGGUCCUGUACCCGCCCCUCCCCCCCUUCCUCUACGGCCCCUUCGGCCCCGACCCCCCCCCCGUGCUGCAGGUGAGGCAGGAGCUGCCCCCUCCCCCCUCGGAGUUCUACGGGCAGGGCCAGGGCGGCUUCCCCCAGGUGAGGGGGGGAGGGGCGGGUGGGGGUGGGGGAGGGGCACACACACCUAUGGGGGUGGGGGAGGGGCGCACACACACCUAUGGGGGUGGGGGAGGGGCGCACACACCUAUGGGGGUGGGGGAGGGGCGCACACACCUAUGGGGGUGGGGGAGGGGCAGGUGGGGGGUGGGGGAGGGGCACACACGCCUGGGGGGUGGGGGAGGGGCAGAUGGGAUUGGGGGGGAGGGGCACACACGCCUGGGGGGUGGGGGAGGGGCACACACACCUAUGGGGGUGGGGGAGGGGCACACCUAUGGGGGUGGGGGAAGGGCAGAUGGGAUUGGGGGGGAGGGGCGCACACACCUAUGGGGGUGGGGGAGGGGCAGGUGGGGGGUGGGGGAGGGGCACACACACCUAUGGGGUGGGGGAGGGGCAGAUGGGAUUGGGGGGGAGGGGCACACACACCUAUGGGGGGGUGGGGGAGGGGCACUCACACCUAUGGAGGUGGGGGAGGGGCAGAUGGGAUGGGGGGAGGGGCACACACACCUAUGGUGGGGGAGGGGCACACACACCUAUGGGGUGGGGGAGGGGCAGAUGG
rnacentral:lncRNA from 1 species